AGAAAUUAUAUACACCAUUCAACACAUAAUUUAGAUAUGGUUUUUAUUUAUUUAUUCAUUCAUUCAUUUUUAUAUUUUUUUAUUAAAGCAAAAUCUGCAGAAAGAGCCACACCUGAAUACCAUAAUGAUUUCUCCAGCACUAAAGGCCCAACAGAAAAGCAACAAAUCACAUCAGAGAACUAUGAUGAUGUAAUCACUGUUGGACUGAGACAUGCUACAGAUGACUUACCAGAAAACUAUGAUGAUGUCGUCAUCAUACAACAGUUCUCCAAUGAUAAAGCAGAGGCUGUUCAGGAGGAGUAUGAUGAUGUGAAGAAUGUCAGAGAAUAUAUGAGCGACAUGUUUGACUAUGAUGAUGUGGAGGAGGAUCCAGGAAAACAGGCAGAAGCUGUAUAACUCAAACCUCACCCACUGCCUCAGAAACUUUUAAAGCUUUUAAAGUUUUAGCAAUCUUACUAUAUACAUGUUUCAGUUGCAAUCUAACAGUGUUUUGUUACAUUCUGUAUUAAAAUAUACAAUUGCAGUUUUUGACAGAAAAAAAUGCUUUGCUUUCAUGACCUUUUCAAAAGGUGCUUGAAUUUUUCCAGACGCUUUUAGAAAUAUUUUCUAUUGUUUAGCCUUAGAAAUUUGAGAGAACAAAAACCUGUCAUUUUCUGACAUCAGUUACUUUGUAUAAACAUAAUUGUGUUGAGUUCAGAUUGUUCACCAUUCAGCUACCACCCAUCAUUAAUGGAUUACUUACAGUAUCUUCAACUUAAUAAUAUCAUAAUAUUAAAUAUCAAAAUAUCAUUCACUGAUGGUUCACUGUUAAUAUUUUGCUAAAGGACAUUAGAAUGUUACGGUGGCCGAGAGCUCAACGCGCUGCAACUUCAGAAAACACAUGCAAAUAUAAAAAGCACCAGCAAAUAAAGAAAACAUCUUCAUCAGUCUGAGAGCAUGUGCUGCAAAUACUCCCAACACAACCAAAUACAAAACACACUGCAAAUCCUCCCAACACAAACAAUUAAAGAAACACACAAGUAGCACAGACCACAACAAAAUUACCCCAACAAAAACGAAAAUUAUUAUUAUUAUUUUUUUGAUUACCAUUUGUUACCACAGUUGUACAAAUACCAUGGUUAAACUAUGGUAUGUAGUAAAUCCAUGGGUAAUUUAUGCAUGCUAACCAUGGUUUAACUAUUGUUGUUUUUAUUUACUUUUUAUAUAAUAAAUGUAUUAAUACAGUUUAAGGCUAUGGUUAAUUUUUAUAGGGGAAGUUGUAAAAGUGAGCCACAUAAUGUUAAAAUAAAUCUCACCUUUCAGAGCAAACAUUGAUCAGCAUGUCCCAGCCGUGUUCGUC
rnacentral:lncRNA from 1 species